rnacentral:rRNA from 1 species
UACGGAGGGUGCAAGCGUUAUCCGGAUUCACUGGGUUUAAAGGGUGUGUAGGCGGGCUGUUAAGUCAGUGGUGAAAUCUCCAGGCUCAACCUGGAAACUGCCAUUGAUACUAUCAGUCUUGAAUUUUGUUGAGGUAGGCGGAAUAUGUCAUGUAGCGGUGAAAUGCUUAGAUAUGACAUAGAACACCAAUUGCGUAGGCAGCUUACUACACGAUCAUUGACGCUGAGGCACGAAAGCGUGGGGAGCAAACAGG